ensembl:lncRNA
CCUAGGUGAUAUCAGUAAUAAUAGUAGUAGCCUCCUCAGUCAGCUGCUGUGCUCAGCCGACCCGAUGAUGCGAUCCCGGAGAAACAUGCUGAUCUACAGACUGAUUUCUGACAACAGUCAGCUUCUCUUAAUUGUGGCGCCGCAGGUCUACAACUUCAGGGACAUUUAAAACAGGCUAAGCAAGCUGUUUUUUCUGAUCAGUGAAGGAAAAGACAUCUCGGUACAACAGUCACAGGAGCCUCACAGCUGAUCAAGUCACUGCCUGGCGACCAGAACGUUUGUAAUAACUAGUUAGUUAUUCUAUUCCAGUUGUUAGAGUGUAGAGGCGGCAGGCAGCCUAGUGGUUAGAGUGUAGAGGUGACAGGGUAGCCUAGUGGUUAGAGUGUAGAGGCGGCAGGUAGCCUAGUGGUUAGAGUGUAGAGGCGGCAGGUAGCCUAUUGGUUAGAGUGUAGAGGCGGCAGGUAGCCUAGUGGUUAGAGUGUAGAGAUGACAGGGUAGCCUAGUGGUUAGAGUGUAGAGGUGACAGGGUAGCCUAGUGGUUAGAGUGUAGAGGUGACAGGGUAGCCUAGUGGUUAGAGUGUAGAGGCGGCAGGGUAGCCUAGUGGUUAGAGUGUAGAGGUGACAGGGUAGCCUAGUGGUUAGAGUGUAGAGGCGGCAGGGUAGCCUAGUGGUUAGAGUGUAGAGGCGGCAGGUAGCCUAGUGGUUAGUGUAGAGGCGGCAGGGUAGCCUAGUGGUUAGAGUGUAGAGGUGACAGGGUAGCCUAGUGGUUAGAGUGUAGAGGCGGCAGGUAGCCUAGUGGUUAGAGUGUAGAGGUGACAGGGUAGCCUAGUGGUUAGAGUGUUGAGGCGGCAGGGUAGCCUAGUGGUUAGAGUGUAGAGGCGGCAGGGUAGCCUCGUGGUUAGAGUGUGGAGACGGCAGGUAGCCUAGUGGUUAGAGUGUAGAGGUGACAGGGUAGCCUAGUGGUUAGAGUGUAGAGGUGGCAGGUAGCCUAGUGGUUAGAGUGUAGAGGUGACAGGGUAGCCUAGUGGUUAGAGUGUUGAGGCGGCAGGGUAGCCUAGUGGUUAGAGUGUAGAGGCGGCAGGGUAGCCUCGUGGUUAGAGUGUGGAGACGGCAGGUAGCCUAGUGGUUAGAGUGUAGAGGCGGCAGGUAGCCUAGUGGUUAGAGUGUAGAGGCGGCAGGUAGCCUAGUGGUUAGUGUAGAGGCGGCAGGGUAGCCUAGUGGUUAGAGUGUAGAGGCGGCAGGUAGCCUAGUGGUUAGAGUGUAGAGGCGGCAGGUAGCCUAGUGGUUAGAGUGUAGAGGCGGCAGGGUAGCCUAGUGGUUAGAGUGUAGAGGCGGCAGGUAGCCUAGUGGUUAGAAGUGUAGAGGCGGCAGGGUAGCCUAGUGGUUAGUGUAGGGGGGCGGCAGUGUAGCCUAGUGGUUAGAGUGUAGAGGCGGCAG